rnacentral:lncRNA from 1 species
GGUUGCCGUAACCUGGCUCGGGCCCUGCAGUGCCGUGGCCCGGGGCUGGAACUGCCUGCCAACUGCCUGAUUGCAGGAAACAGCAAUUGCCGUCCAGAACCAUCACAAGUUAAAAAAUAAAGAUUGUGAUCUCACAACACUUAAAGCUACAGGGUUUAAUGGACUGACGACUGGGAUAAAGCUUUUGUGGCCAAGACAAAUUGCCGAGCACAGGUUUUUGCCUCAUGGCCUUCGUGCUUGCAGUACCCUCUCCCUAAAAUGCUUUCCCUACCCCCUCACCCUCUGCAUCCUUAUAUUCCAUGUCUGAUGCUCGCUCACCUCCUUCCAGCUUUAUCACACACCUCCUUUUCCGUGAAAAGGAAAAUUGCCACCCUAAUGAAAAUUGCAAGCCCCCCAAAAUUCUCCAUUCCCUUACCCUGCUUUGUUUUUCUCCAAAGAAUUUAUCACUAUCUGGCGUAAUGAAUAUUUACUUAUUUUUUUUAUUGUCUCUUCCCUUAAUAGCAUGAAAAAUUACGAGAGGGUAAUCUUUUUUUUUUAUUUUUUAUUUUUGAGACAGAGUCUCGCUCUGUUGCCCAAGGCUGGAGUACAGUGGUGCAAUUUCGGCUCACUGAAACCUCCGCCUCCCAGAUUCAAGCGAUUCUC